AUUGAACGCUGGCGGCAGGCCUAACACAUGCAAGUCGAACGCAGUUGCGAACGGGGGAGUAACGCGUAGGGAACUGCCUCAUAGCGGGGGAUAACUAUUGGAAACGAUAGCUAAUACCGCAUACUGUGAGAUGGACCUGCGUUGUAUUAGCUAGCUGGUGAGGUAAAGGCUCACCAAGACGACGAUACAUAGCCGACCUGAGAGGGUGAUCUGCCCCGCUGGGACGUAUGCACGUCCCCGACUCCGACGGGAGGCAGCAGUAGUGAAUCUUCGGCAAUGGACGGACGUCUGACCGAGCAACGCCGCGUGAGUGAGGAAGGUUUUCGGAUCGUAAAGCUCUUUUGUUAGAGACGCGGUAACUAACCAGAGAGGGACGGCUAACUACGUGCCAGCAGCCGCGGUAAUAC
rnacentral:rRNA from 1 species